UUCCGGUUGAUCCUGCCGGAGGCCAUUGCUAUCGGAGUUCGAUUUAGCCAUGCUAGUCGCACGAGUUCAGACUCGUGGCGGAAAGCUCAGUAACACGUGGCCAAACUACCCUAUGGAUCGAGACAACCUCGGGAAACUGAGGGUAAUCUCGAAUAAGGCUCCCACUCUGGAGUGAGGGGAGCUGGAAACGUUCCGGCGCCAUAGGAUGUGGCUGCGGCCGAUUAGGUAGACGGUGGGGUAACGGCCCACCGUGCCGAUAAUCGGUACGGGUUGUGAGAGCAAGAGCCCGGAGACGGAUUCUGAGACAAGAAUCCGGGCCCUACGGGGCGCAGCAGGCGCGAAAACUUUACACUGCACGACAGUGCGAUAAGGGAACUCCGAGUGCGAGGGCAUAUAGUCCUCGCUUUUCUACACCGUAAGAUGGUGUAAGAAUAAGAGCUGGGCAAGACCGGUGCCAGCCGCCGCGGUAAUACCGGCAGCUCAAGUGAUGGCCGCUAUUAUUGGGCCUAAAGCGUCCGUAGCCAGCCAGACAGGUCCGUCGGGAAAUCCACUCGCUCAACGAGUGGGCAUCCGGCGGAAACCAGCUGGCUUGGGGCCGGAAGACCUGAGGGGUACGUCCGGGGUAGGAGUGAAAUCCUGUAAUCCUGGACGGACCACCGGUGGCGAAAGCGCCUCAGGAAGACGGACCCGACGGUGAGGGACGAAAGCUAGGGUCACGAACCGGAUUAGAUACCCGGGUAGUCCUAGCUGUAAACGAUGCUCGCUAGGUGUGGCACAGGCUACGAGCCUGUGCUGUGCCGUAGGGAAGCCGAGAAGCGAGCCGCCUGGGAAGUACGUCCGCAAGGAUGAAACUUAAAGGAAUUGGCGGGGGAGCACUACAACCGGAGGAGCCUGCGGUUUAAUUGGAUUCAACGCCGGG
rnacentral:rRNA from 1 species